GGAGGAAAGCAGGGGAUCGCAAGACCUCGCGUUAUUGGAGCGGCCGAUGCCGGAUUAGCUAGUUGGUGAGGUAAAGGCUCACCAAGGCGACGAUCCGUAGCUGGUCUGAGAGGACGACCAGCCACACUGGGACUGAGACACGGCCCAGACUCCUACGGGAGGCAGCAGUGGGGAAUUUUGGACAAUGGGGGCAACCCUGAUCCAGCCAUGCCGCGUGAGUGAAGAAGGCCUUCGGGUUGUAAAGCUCUUUCGCAAGGAAAGAAAACCUAUCCGCUAAUACCGGGUGGGGACGACGGUACCUUGAUAAGAAGCACCGGCUAACUACGUGCCAGCAGCCGCGGUAAUACGUAGGGUGCGAGCGUUAAUCGGAAUUACUGGGCGUAAAGCGUGCGCAGGCGGUUUCGUAAGCCAGAUGUGAAAUCCCCGGGCUCAACCUGGGAACUGCGUUUGAAACUACAAGGCUAG
rnacentral:rRNA from 1 species